rnacentral:misc_RNA from 1 species
GUGAAUCAUCGAAUCUUUGAACGCAAAUUGCACUCUCUUCGGAGAGUAUGCCUGUUUGAGGGUCAGUAUUAAUAAAAAUCGGUGUGUUUCUUCUGUGUGGCGCGCCGGAGUUUGGGUCAUGUUAAUAUCCUUUAUGUAUUAAGAGGCUUAAAGUUUACUUUUUUUGCGCAUUUUAGCUUUACAUAAUUUCUUUUUUUUAUUCUUCUGUCUUAAUGCUCAAAAUCCUAUUAGAUGCGACCAUAUCGUGUGGUUUCGUGGCUAUAAAUUUUUCAUGAUUUG